CUGAAGGAGCAACUCUUAUUUAACGUUGGCUUAAGCCCUCUCAACCCUGUCGGUAUUUUUUUUUGUCAAUCGCUGCUUCCCCUUUCUUCUUGUUCUUUUCUAAGCUGUGCCGAUCUUCUUUCAUUGCAAAUAUGGACGCUGACGCAGCUCGAAUGCUAGCCUAGGAUCUCAAGGCCCACAAAAGGAAAGGCACCGCAUCCUCGGGGAAGGCGAAGAGGGCUAGGGUAGAAGAGACUAGCUC
rnacentral:lncRNA from 1 species